rnacentral:rRNA from 1 species
CAAUAGCGUAUAUUAAAGUUGUUGCAGUUAAAAAGCUCGUAGUUGGAUUUCUGGUCGGAAGCUCCUGUCCUCUGAUGAGCGUACAAGUGCGUCCUACCAUCCUUCUGUUAACCUUUAAGGCUUUCGCGGCUUUCUAGGGGCUCAGAUAUUUUACCUUGAGAAAAUUAGAGUGUUUCAGGCAGGCUAGCGCCGGAAUACAUUAGCAUGGAAUAAUGGAAUAGGACUUUUGCCUCUUCUGUUGGUCAUGAGGCUCGAGUAAUGAUUAAUAGGGAUAGUUGGGGGCAUUAGUACUUAACUGUCAGAGGUGAAAUUCUCGGAUUUGUUAAAGACUAACUUAUGCGAAAGCAUUAGCCAAGGAUGUUUUCAUUAA